rnacentral:lncRNA from 1 species
UUUUGUAGUUUGUUCUCCAUGUGGUACAGGCCUACCCAACACAUGGGUGGAAAAGCAAGAAUAUGUUUGUGAAGCAAUGCUGAAUGAGCAAGUCUGAAAUGAUGAUGUAUGCGUAAUUCAAUCAAAUGUGUACUCGAGAGAAAGAAUUAGAAGACAUGUAUAAACACUUAAAAGAUAAUUCUCGAGUAGAUAGCUGAAAUUUUUUGAUGAAAACAUUGUUUUCAUUUUUCAAUAUUCUUUAGAUUACUCAUUCAAACCUUUCAUUCUGUAUUUGUAGAUUCUGGAGCCAUAGUUCUGGUAGUUUCCCAACAUACAAAGGCAACUAGUUUUUCAUUUGGACAAACAGGUUAGCAGCCUCUCAAAUCAGUGUUGUCGCUUUCGCUUUGAACUUUGUUAUAUAUUUAUCGCAUGUGGAUUGGACAUUUCUUUGCUUGUGGAUGCUCAGAGAAUGUUCAUUUGAUAAGUCAACUCCACAAGUAUGAUGAUAGCUGUGUUGCUUUUGGAUUCUGAAACUAUAUUAUCAUUUAUUCUUAGCAAUGUUAUAGUGAAAAACAUUGCUAUAAAAUUCUUUAGAUUACUCAUUGAACUAGAGGUCUCUUCACUUUCGUUUGGGUCAUGGCAACCAGUGUGAGCCAUGUCAACCAGGGCUCUAGGAUCAUAGAAGCAAUGUUGCAGAAGAACAAGAUUUGUUGCAAUGCAGCUCCAUAGGAACGAUAAAUAGAAACAUAUCAAAUAUUAGCAAAAAUAGAAAUUUUAGGCACAAUAGAAAGGAAUGCUGUAACUAGGCUGGGUGCGAUCGCCAGUAAAAGAAGGAGCAUAUCCGGAAAGUGAUACCAGCAGCAGUAGAGAAAAACUCCUGCUUACAGUGAAAGAAGCUAUCUGCUGAUGAUAACAAGAACAGUACCUAUAGCACCAAUAGCAUACUUUCUUGUUCCCUACUAGUAUGGGGAGCUGUCACCAGGGCCUAUGAUCCAAACCCAUACCUAGAUGCCUUUCUGAUGUCUCUCUCUCUUAGGUUUAGUCUGUAGCCUCACUUCCUUGAUUCUCUCUUUGUUUAGUAAGUCUGAGCUCCCCGCUUUCUUCUUUGUUCUUUCCUCUCUUCAGGAAUAUAGUCAGGCCUUUCCCUUUUUUAGUAGCUAGCGGGCAGGUAGCUUUUUGUAUUUGGCAUUCCUAUUGGGAAGCUAUGCAGUACGAACCCAGAGCCAAGUCACUAUGGUAUCCCCGACUACAAGUAGACUAUUCCGGAGGAAGGGUCAAUUGAUAAUGAUCCUUCUUAUGUGCACGUCGAAUAUCAGUUAUGAAAGAUCGUCCAAGAUCUAUUAGUUGCUUUGUGACUCUGUUCUGAACUUUGCGUAACUGCAUGAUUUCGUUAGUGAAGCAGUUAUGAAUAAGGAAGUCCCAAAUGGAUUAUAUGAUUAUGAUAUUUUUAGGUUACUACUCUUUCUUUCAUUCUGACUUGUACAGAUUUAGUGCCCAUAUUUCAGUUAUUUAUUAAUGCAUGAAACCAUGUUGUUUUGCAUGUUGACAAACAGCUUGGUUAGUAGUGUCUCAAAUCUAUGGUUUUGUCAGACUUUGGUACUUAUACAAUGUACGAAUGUAACGAAGCAGUCUUUUGCAUUGUAGAUUCUGGAAUCUUAGUUCUUAUAUCUGUUUAAAAUCCAAUCAUGCUAAACAUUUGUACAUUGGAUUCUCUUGGCAUAUACACCUUAACAAGUUCUGGAGGCCACUGCAGACCUACUACGAGUAUGUUCUGCACUAGUGAGAAAUGUUGUAAUUGGCUAACAAAGUGUUCUGUUCUUCUACGAAAUAAUGGAUUAGAGCUAAGUGGAGGAGAUGCGGCUGGGAUUACUUAAAAGGGAGACCUAAAGGGAGGUUUGGAAGCCACUAGGGGUGUAAUGGAAGGUGAUCCUUUUUCACCUAUCUAUGAGUCUUGUGGUGGAUGUCUCUUGAAUAACAAGAUGAAGAGCAUAAGAAUUGAGAUUGAUUGAUGGUUUGCCUGUUAGAAAGAAGGAGGCUGAAAUUUUGGAAAUUUUCAUGUUACUAUCUUCAAAUUAUUGUGCUUGCUGAAUCUUCUUCUUGAAGUGAACUGGAGAUGGUAGGUUCUCUUGUAUGAUGCCCCUUCGGAUGUUGAGGACAUUUCAAUCUCCUGUUCGAUCUGUGAGCUCAUAUAUUCAAUCUUGCACUAAUAAGAAAGGAGGCUUUGAGCCAUGAAGCUAUCCCUUUUACCGGGAAUUUACAAACCAAAGCUUCAGAAUCACAGGCUUUGCUUUCUGAUCUCAGGUUAUGCUCAUCUUUGAGUGUAAGAAAAUUGAAGCGGAAGGAGAUGCUCAAGGUGUAAUCAAGAGCCUGGCUAGUACUAGCUUUGAUUUCAGUGAGGAAGAAGUUCUCAUGGAUAAUGUAAGACAGUGAAGUCGAGAGUUUUGAGUCAAUUUCAUAUGGGUUGUAGCAACGGUGCAGCAAAAUGUACAUGGCUCUCUUUUCAUCUUUCGCUGGUCACCUUGCAGUAAAGUUUUCUAGACAGCUUCAAGGCUUAGCACCUGUUUUACAUCUCACCGGAUUAUUGCACGUCUUCUUUGUGCCAAAAGUCCACCAGUUACCACCAAACUUUGGCAACCUCAGUCGGCUUUCUGUUUCUACAUCUUUUGAAUCUCUGAUCCCCAUUGUAAUUAUUGAGGAAGUCUUGGAUUUAUUUUUAAUUGCCAGCUUGUCCUAGUGUUGGAAAUAUAUAUUUUCUUAUUAACUGAAAAUGUUCUAAGAUGCAUUGGGUGUGUGUGUGUGUGUUGUUUGUUUUUUUUUUUUUUUUUUUUUGCUCAAAUUAUUUUUGUUUUGGCGUACUGCAAUUUCUUCACUAUUCCUAUUGAUUUGAUACCGAGUGGCACUUCACUAGUCAUAUGUCGACGUUACAAUUUUCCUUAAGUAUAGUAUAUUCAAAUUCAAUCAUGGUUCUUCAAGCUAGUUUACUCAGUUCUUGUCUCUGCAGAUUGUUGCUGUGUUUCUAUAAUUCUUAUUGACGGUCACUCAAUGUUAGCAAAUCAGAAGUUCAAAGUUCUGAUCCCAAGCGAGUUCAGCUUCAUGGGCAGUAAGUCUUAAGCUUUUUGGUACCAUACUAUGUAAAUUUCGUCAUUACUAAUUUAUGCUGCUAAGAAAGUAAAAUUGCAGAGAAAUUAUAAAGAUGCUUAGAUAAUUUUCUUGUAUUGAUGAGAAAAGCUAUAACACAAUUGUAAGCUAAAGCAAGAUCUGACAAAAUCAAUACGCUCCAGCUAACUACCUAAAGCCUUCACCUAGUACUUGUGAUGUUUGUUUAUCGACUCUUAACAAUCUUGAGCUGCAGGUGAGUGAUCACUAGACAAUGGGCAUUGUUGCUGCUUGCUUGUGUUUAACACUCUGAUAUAAACAAUGGUUGCAUAUAGUUAUCUGAACGCUGAUCAGUACUUGGUCCCUCUGUAAGGAUUUCUGCACCUUGAUCCGUUCAUGGCAUAAAUUAAUUAAAAGUAGAACACUCUGUCAACUUCAAGUGAACAUUCACUUCUCAUGUUUCUAGUUUAGAAUUAAGGAUAGGGUUUGAGGUAAGAGAAAGAGUUGAUAUGUUGUCAGUGUAGAAUCACUGCAGUAAUCUGUCUUAAAGAAUGCCUUGAUCGAGACCGAGUAUUGUUUCUUUAAACACCAAGGCAGAUGAUAAUCAAUGUUGAAAGUUCCCUUGGUUCUGAAGGAGCAGAUCCAAAAGUAUGCCUUGAAAAAAAAAAAAUGCUCCCUGCUCUUAUCUGAGAGUUCUUAUAAUAGCAGCAAAGAGGUUUUACGUGAUAUUUUGCAUUGAAUGACAUGGUUUUUAGACUCUAGGUUAUAUCAGCCCUUGAAGGUUUAGAUGCUGAAACAAGCAAGAAUGCUCCUACAUUGAGUUACAAAGGCAAGGAGUGGUACUGGGCUAGUUAUCUAUCAGACUGAUCAUCAUCAAUACUGUUAUCUUGUGCAUAUUCAAUCAGCUGGAAAAUAAUGUAAAAGCCCCAAAUCCUUCGCUUCAAACGCGUUUUGAACUGCAACAUCGUUAGUUCUUGCGCUGAUUAUAUCAUCUACAAAUAGCAGAAGGUACACUAAUAUGAGGCUGUGAUGAAUAAGGAGGACGGAUCAGCAUGAGAGCACUGACGUCAAAUAUGAGAUGAACCUCUCAUUCCAAGCCCCCACGGUGCCUGCUCAAGAAAAAAUAAAUCACAGACAAAAUUUGGAUGCACAGGGUCCUAAAUCCAGAUUGAGCCAUAAAAACUUGCUUCUUAAAGCACUUAAUGGAGAAAAGCAUUCAUCACACUCAUUUGAUGGAGCUCUGAACCAAACUAUGCUGCAAGAGCAAGAAAUCGUUCCCAUGCUUGCUACUACCACUCAUGAGAAUGUCAUUGAUGGUAAUCUAUGAGAGAGAGAGAGAGAGA